rnacentral:rRNA from 1 species
AGUGAACGCUGGCGGCGUGCCUAAUACAUGCAAGUCGAACGAAGUGGCGCACGGGUGAGUAAUAUAUAGUUAAUCUGCCCUACACAGAGGAACAACAGUUGGAAACGACUGCUAAUACCUCAUAGUGUAGGAUGAGACUAUAUCGUAUCAGCUAGUUGGUAAGGUAAUGGCUUACCAAGGCUAUGACGCGUAACUGGUCUGAGAGGAUGAUCAGUCACAUUAGAACUGAGACACGGUCCAGACGCGUACGGGAGGCAGCGGUAGGGAAUAUUGCGCAGUGGGGGAGCCCCUGACGCAGCAACGCCGGGUGCGGGAUGUCGGCCUUCGGGUUGUAAACCGCUUUCAGCCAUGACGCGGUAGUGGCAGAAGAAGCACCGGCUAACUACGUGCCAGCCGCCGCGGUAAUUC